UACAGAGGGUGCGAGCGUUAAUCGGAAUUACUGGGCGUAAAGCGUGCGUAGGUGGUUCGUUAAGUCUGAUGUGAAAGCCCUGGGCUCAACCUGGGAAUGGCAUUGGAAACUGGCGACCUAGAGUGCGGUAGAGGGUAGUGGAAUUCCCGGUGUAGCAGUGAAAUGCGUAGAGAUCGGGAGGAACAUCCGUGGCGAAGGCGACUACCUGGACCAGCACUGACACUGAGGCACGAAAGCGUGGGGAGCAAACAGG
rnacentral:rRNA from 1 species